rnacentral:rRNA from 2 species
UACGAAGGGGGCUAGCGUUGUUCGGAAUUACUGGGCGUAAAGCGCGCGCAGGCGGUUCUUUAAGUCAGGGGUGAAAGCCCAGAGCUCAACUCUGGAAUUGCCUUUGAAACUAGAGAACUUGGGUACGGGAGAGGUGAGUGGAAUUCCGAGUGUAGAGGUGAAAUUCGUAGAUAUUCGGAAGAACACCAGUGGCGAAGGCGGCUCACUGGCCCGUUACCGACGCUCAGGCGCGACAGCGUGGGGAGCAAACAGG